rnacentral:misc_RNA from 1 species
GGACUACAAGGGUUUCUAAUCCUGUUUGCUCCCCACGCUUUCGUGCAUGAGCGUCAGUGUUAGCCCAGGGGGCUGCCUUCGCCAUCGGUAUUCCUCCACAUCUCUACGCAUUUCACUGCUACACGUGGAAUUCUACCCCCCUCUGCCACACUCUAGCUCGCCAGUCACCAAUGCAGUUCCCAGGUUAAGCCCGGGGAUUUCACAUCGGUCUUAGCGAACCGCCUGCGCACGCUUUACGCCCAGUAAUUCCGAUUAACGCUCGCACCCUACGUAUUACCGCGGCUGCUGACAC